CUCAGUCUGGUGUGGCACUUGUGCGGGGAAGCAACUGGGCACUUUUUUCCUUCAUCGGGACUACGACACUGCCAUUUCUAGCACUUUCUUGGUCCUUCGUCCGCGAUCUCAACCUCGAAGGACCAUCGGAGCGCAGAUUGGCGCAGUCGCAAGAAUUAACUAGAAAGGAAGGAGUGGCAGGAGAAGAAAACAGUGAAGUGAAAUAAAAAAGAAAAAUAAAGUAAUAUUAUGAAGAUGAAAUAACAAAAAAACGACACAACGCAUGUAUAAAGAAAGAAAAGAGAGAACACAAGACUCGAAAUUCUUCACAACAAACAAAAGAGCAGAGUCGAUGAAGUUCUAACCGCGUGUCUAAAGGAUCGAAACCUAUUCCCCCCAAAAUACCUUCCACCAUGAAGAUCCUAAUCCUCACGACCUUUUUCGUCAUCAGUUGUUGCAUGUUGCGAAGCCAUGCACUUCCGAAUCAGAUCGUUAUCGGCGGAAUAUUCGACGAGAAGGACAAGCUGCUCGAACUGGCCUUCCGCUAUGCCGUCGAGCGCAUCAACAACGACCGGUCGACUCUCACGCACUCGACCCUCGUGGCUCAGCCGGUCUGGCUCCC